GGGUUGUGAGGUUAAGCGACUAAGCGUACACGGUGGAUGCCCUGGCAGUCAGAGGCGAUGAAGGGCGUGCUAAUCUGCGAUAAGCGCCGGUAAGGUGAUAUGAACCGUUAUAACCGGCGAUACCCGAAUGGGGAAACCCAGUGUGAUUCGUCACACUAUCAUUAACUGAAUCCAUAGGUUAAUGAGGCGAACCGGGGGAACUGAAACAUCUAAGUACCCCGAGGAAAAGAAAUCAACCGAGAUUCCCCCAGUAGCGGCGAGCGAACGGGGAGGAGCCCAGAGCCUGAAUCAGCAUGUGUGUUAGUGGAAGCGUCUGGAAAGGCGCGCGAUACAGGGUGACAGCCCCGUACACAAAAGCGCAUGUGCUGUGAGCUCGAUGAGUAGGGCGGGACACGUGGUAUCCUGUCUGAAUAUGGGGGGACCAUCCUCCAAGGCUAAAUACUCCUGACUGACCGAUAGUGAACCAGUACCGUGAGGGAAAGGCGAAAAGAACCCCGGCGAGGGGAGUGAAAAAGAACCUGAAACCGUGUACGUACAAGCAGUGGGAGCCCCACCACUAAGCCAGUGGUGAACUCCACAUCCGCAUCCUUUGCUGAGGAUACGGUUAACGGAGCGAAAGCGACGUUCAACCGCAAAACAAGCAGAGGGGGCUUAGUGGUGGGGUGACUGCGUACCUUUUGUAUAAUGGGUCAGCGACUUAUAUUCUGUAGCAAGGUUAACCGAAUAGGGGAGCCGGAGGGAAACCGAGUCUUAAUUGGGCGUUAAGUUGCAGGGUAUAGACCCGAAACCCGGUGAUCUAGCCAUGGGCAGGUUGAAGGUUGGGUAACACUAACUGGAGGACCGAACCGACUAAUGUUGAAAAAUUAGCGGAUGACCUGUGGCUGGGGGUGAAAGGCCAAUCAAACCGGGAGAUAGCUGGUUCUCCCCGAAAGCUAUUUAGGUAGCGCCUCGUGAAUUCAUCUCCGGGGGUAGAGCACUGUUUCGGCUAGGGGGCCAUCCCGGCUUACCAACCCGAUGCAAACUGCGAAUACCGGAGAAUGUUAUCACGGGAGACACACGGCGGGUGCUAACGUCCGUCGUGAAGAGGGAAACAACCCAGACCGCCAGCUAAGGUCCCAAAGUCAUGGUUAAGUGGGAAACGAUGUGGGAAGGCCCAGACAGCCAGGAUGUUGGCUUAGAAGCAGCCAUCAUUUAAAGAAAGCGUAAUAGCUCACUGGUCGAGUCGGCCUGCGCGGAAGAUGUAACGGGGCUAAACCAUGCACCGAAGCUGCGGCAGCGAACGUAUCACCCAAGACAACUUUACGGAGUUGACGAUUGACGGAGCGAAGCGACGUCAAAGCGUUCAUUAAAGUCGAGUUGGCUUAGGGAUACGUUCGUUGGGUAGGGGAGCGUUCUGUAAGCCUGUGAAGGUGUGUCGUGAGGCAUGCUGGAGGUAUCAGAAGUGCGAAUGCUGACAUAAGUAACGAUAAAGCGGGUGAAAAGCCCGCUCGCCGGAAGACCAAGGGUUCCUGUCCAACGUUAAUCGGGGCAGGGUGAGUCGACCCCUAAGGCGAGGCCGAAAGGCGUAGUCGAUGGGAAACGGGUUAAUAUUCCCGUACUUGGUGUUACUGCGAAGGGGGGACGGAGAAGGCUAUGUUGGCCGGGCGACGGUUGUCCCGGUUUAAGCGUGUAGGUGUGUGUUCCAGGUAAAUCCGGUUCACUUUAACACUGAGGCGUGACGACGAGGCACUACGGUGCUGAAGCAACAAAUGCCCUGCUUCCAGGAAAAGCCUCUAAGCAUCAGGUAACAUCAAAUCGUACCCCAAACCGACACAGGUGGUCAGGUAGAGAAUACCAAGGCGCUUGAGAGAACUCGGGUGAAGGAACUAGGCAAAAUGGUGCCGUAACUUCGGGAGAAGGCACGCUGACACGUGAGGUGAAGGGAUUUACUCAUGGAGCUGAAGUCAGUCGAAGAUACCAGCUGGCUGCAACUGUUUAUUAAAAACACAGCACUGUGCAAACACGAAAGUGGACGUAUACGGUGUGACGCCUGCCCGGUGCCGGAAGGUUAAUUGAUGGGGUCAGCGCAAGCGAAGCUCCUGAUCGAAGCCCCGGUAAACGGCGGCCGUAACUAUAACGGUCCUAAGGUAGCGAAAUUCCUUGUCGGGUAAGUUCCGACCUGCACGAAUGGCGUAAUGAUGGCCAGGCUGUCUCCACCCGAGACUCAGUGAAAUUGAACUCGCUGUGAAGAUGCAGUGUACCCGCGGCAAGACGGAAAGACCCCGUGAACCUUUACUAUAGCUUGACACUGAACAUUGAGCCUUGAUGUGUAGGAUAGGUGGGAGGCUUUGAAGUGUGGACGCCAGUCUGCAUGGAGCCGACCUUGAAAUACCACCCUUUAAUGUUUGAUGUUCUAACGUGGACCCGUAAUCCGGGUUGCGGACAGUGUCUGGUGGGUAGUUUGACUGGGGCGGUCUCCUCCUAAAGAGUAACGGAGGAGCACGAAGGUUGGCUAAUCCUGGUCGGACAUCAGGAGGUUAGUGCAAUGGCAUAAGCCAGCUUGACUGCGAGCGUGACGGCGCGAGCAGGUGCGAAAGCAGGUCAUAGUGAUCCGGUGGCUCUGAAUGGAAGGGCCAUCGCUCAACGGAUAAAAGGUACUCCGGGGAUAACAGGCUGAUACCGCCCAAGAGUUCAUAUCGACGGCGGUGUUUGGCACCUCGAUGUCGGCUCAUCACAUCCUGGGGCUGAAGUAGGUCCCAAGGGUAUGGCUGUUCGCCAUUUAAAGUGGUACGCGAGCUGGGUUUAGAACGUCGUGAGACAGUUCGGUCCCUAUCUGCCGUGGGCGCUGGAGAACUGAGGGGGGCUGCUCCUAGUACGAGAGGACCGGAGUGGACGCAUCACUGGUGUUCGGGUUGUCAUGCCAAUGGCACUGCCCGGUAGCUAAAUGCGGAAGAGAUAAGUGCUGAAAGCAUCUAAGCACGAAACUUGCCCCGAGAUGAGUUCUCCCUGAGACUUAGAGUCUCCUGAAGGAACGUUGAAGACGACGACGUUGAUAGGCCGGGUGUGUAAGCGCAGCGAUGCGUUGAGCUAACCGGUACUAAUGAACCGUGAGGCUUAACCUUACAACGCCGAAG
rnacentral:rRNA from 1 species